AAGCCUGUGAAGUGAAAAUAGUAAAGAAGCUCUCAAUAGUAAAGAAGCCCUUAAAGGGUGUAGUUAUAUCUGUUCUAGACUACUACUGUAUGUCUUGGGUUCGAAUCCCAACUGUGACAUCUCAGAUUUUCCCAAAGACUGGCUUUAUCAAAAGCUGGAACCAUAAUCUCAAAGAAUGCUGCCAUCCUGUUUUAAGGUAAAUAAACAGUUAAACGCAAG